rnacentral:tRNA from 1 species
GCUCCGUUACGCAAGUGGUCAAGCGGGCAGCCUUUCAAGCUGCUGUCGAGGGUUCGAUUCCCUCACGGAGUGCCA